GAUGAACGCUGGCGGCGUGCCUAACACAUGCAAGUCGAGCGAACGGACGAGAAGCUUGCUUCUCUGAUGUUAGCGGCGGACGGGUGAGUAACACGUGGAUCACCUACCUAUAUUUCUGGGAUAAUUACGGGAAACCGGAUCUAAUACCGGAUAAUAUUUUGAACCGCGUGGUUCAAAAGUGAAAGACGGUCUUGCUGUCUCUUAUAGAUGGUUCCGCGCUGGAUUAGCUAGUUGGUAAGGUAACGGCUUACCAAGGCUACGCUGCGUAGCCGACCUGAGAGGGUGAUCGGCCAGACUGGAACUGAGACACGGUCCAGACUCCUACGGGAGGCAGCAGUAGGGAAUCUUGGGCAAUGGGCGGAGGCCUGAUGGAGCAACGCCGCGUGAGUGAUGAAGGUCUUCGGAUCGUAAAACUCUGUUAUUAGGGAAGAAAAUAUGUGUAAGUAACGGUGAACAUCCUGACGGUACCUAAGGAGAAAGCCACGGCUAACUACGUG
rnacentral:rRNA from 1 species